GCGAGCGUUAAUCGGAAUUAUUGGGCGUAAAGAGCUCGUAGGCGGCUUGUCACGUCGGUUGUGAAAGCCCGAGGCUUAACCUCGGGUCUGCAGUCGAUACGGGCUAGCUAGAGUGUGGUAGGGGAGAUCGGAAUUCCUGGUGUAGCGGUGAAAUGCGCAGAUAUCAGGAGGAACACCGGUGGCGAAGGCGGAUCUCUGGGCCAUUACUGACGCUGAGGAGCGAAAGCGUGGGGAGCGAACAGG
rnacentral:rRNA from 1 species